UACAGAGGGUGCGAGCGUUAAUCGGAAUUACUGGGCGUAAAGCGCGCGUAGACGGUUUUGUAAGUCAGAUGUGAAAUCCCUGGGCUCAACCUGGGAACUGCAUUUGAAACUGCAUGGCUAGAGUAUGGAAGAGGGAAGUGGAAUUUCCGGUGUAGCGGUGAAAUGCGUAGAUAUCAGGAGGAACACCUGUGGUGUAGACAGCUUACUGGACCAUGACUGACGCUGAGACACGAAAGCGUGGGUAGCAAACAGG
rnacentral:rRNA from 1 species